GAAAGGUGAAGAUUGGGGAUAUUAGUGUCAGCCACUUUUUUGAGGGCAUUGAUAGUUUCUAAAGGCUUCUGAGGGUAGGGUUCUUUGGGUUCUAGAAAUUAUAGUUGCUGGUUUGGGGUUUAUGACAUACUUCUGUACAAUGGUUAUAUAAUUACUCUUUUUAGACCCAUCUCUUUCUGUGAAUAUGUUACAUGUACGACUAUACCUGGUUGUGCAUGUUAUGAUUCUUCUUUUGAACAUAUUUACUUCUGGUUAGUGUAGAAAACUAUUUCAUGGAGUAGAACUGAAAGCAUAUCAAGAAAUUAAGACUUUAAUUCUCAGUUUCAUCAGCAACUUAGCUAGACCAUUUGAGUGUUCAUCGACAAUAGUGUAAGUCUUCAACAACUUUGGAGGUAUAGAUUACCAUCUCCUUUGGUAUUUUAUUUUAUUAAGAACAACAAAAAGGAAUUUUGAGUUCAUCUUUUUCAGGCAUGCUUUGGUAGUUUAUUAUAGCCUUUACUUUCAUGUCAUGCUUAUAUAUGAUAGUUUUAUGUGGUUUGAAACUGCACUGGCUGAUUAUGUCGAGCUUUUUGAUUCAUAUCUCAAAAUUACAUGCACGUAUUUAUACCACAUGAACUUCAAGUCAAGGCCAUCAGUUUUGUAUGCGGUUUCUCUAUCUCUAUCUUUUUAUGCUUCGAAAUUUUUUGACAAUUUCAAAUUUGAAAAAAUAAACACAGGCAGGUACUGAAAAUGGUUUAUUUUCAGACUCUGUAUCGACCCUCUUAUUUUCAUCCGUACACCCAAAUGACAAGAAUUCAGAAAUUUUUUUAAUUGACUUUAUAGGUUUAAUCAGUACUCUUUGAAAGUUUGCUGGUGAUGGAAGAUACUGAAAAAGGUUUAUUGGAUGAAAUAGCAGACCUGGACAGUGUGGCACUAAUUAUCAAUUUAAGUUGAUGUAAUAUGCAAGAUGUAAAUGCAACUGAAGUGUUACAGAAGCCAAAGGAUGAUCACUCUUCAAGUCUUGCAAUUUCAGUUUCAACAAUGCCGUCUCAUAUUUGUUUAAGAUUUUGUAAAUAUCCAUAGUCUGGAAGAUUACUAUGUAAUUUGUUUGGAAGAAAGAUCUGCAUCCAAAUACCCUUUAUUAUGUUGGGAUGA